UCAGCUGAGGGAACCCCUUCUGUGUGCACAGUGGGAACUAGCAGGUCAACGCAAAUGAAAACUCAGCUCGGGACUGAAGACCAGCAGACGCUUGACUGCCAUUAGUGAGACGCCCUAAAUCAGACACCAGUGGGGCCCUAACCCAGCCUGUCUCUAGAAUAGGCAUUCAUCAUGGACGAGGAAGGGAGCAAAGGAGGGAGGGGCCUGAGACGCCAGGCGGCCUGGCAGAGGGUGGCUGCCCUGCAGGUGGAGAGGCAGGAGGCAAGGACGAGAGGGCCUGUGCCAGAGCAGACCAGUGUCCCGCUGGCAGGGGUGUCCGGGCUGUGCAGGGCAGCGAGGCCGCUGGAGGCAGGUCGGAGGCUGGCCCGGGGUCAGGGCGCAGAGGGCCUCUGGAGGCGGAUGCUCAGCAGGGACGUGGAAUGCCCACAGGGGUCCCGGGGCUGGGAAGUGGUGGAGCGCAAGGGGCUCAAGCGAGCUGCCGGGACGUUGGAGGACUGAGAUCUCGUGGAAAUGGAACCAUGGGUCCCCUCUGAACUCUGUGCAGGAUGAUUAGAAAAUAUGGCUGGAGGGGACUUUGUCUUGAGAGAGCUCUUGACUGUCCCCCUCUCACCCUCUUCUGCCCUCACCCUCGUUGCUCUGCUGGGAAGACGCUUUGCCAGCCAUCUGACCUGCUUCCUUCAGCUCCACACCCGGGUCCCUUUGUGCCACUGCAGGCGACGCCCAAGCACGUUUGCUGCCUGGGAACCGUGGGGGUCCUGCUCCCUCUUUCCCCUGCUGCACCCGCUCCGCAGUGCCUCGUGUGUGUGCUUGGCCAUCUCCCCAAACCUUUGGGGGCCAUUUGCCAUGAAGUCGGCUCAGUGUCUACCAGGUCCAGGCAGAGGCUUUAGGUUGGCCGUGCUGCUGUGUUGGGGGCGGAGCAAAGGGUGGGGGCCUUACUCGGCUCAUCCGACGAGUCCCUUCAUGUUUUGCCUUCUCUCCAACACCCACAGAGCUCAGGUCUGGGCAGGGUGCUGUCCUGGGCUCUGGGGACUGCAGAGGUGGGGGCUCCGUUCUGCUUUCUCCCGGCCGCUGGGUCUCCAGGUAGCAUCCAGGGAGCUUAACAUCUGGUAACGGACAGAAGGCAUUUCCCUGAAUGACCCAGCAGGAAGCAGAGGGUAAGGAAGCCAAGCCUCAGUGGGACUGAGCAACACCCAAGUCCGCAGAGCUGACUCGAGUUUUAGAUCCAUGAGUGCCACCCACCCGCUGACGGUGCGACAGGGUGUGAGGAGCCCGUUCUCUCCCUUUCAAUGCCCUCCAGCUGAACUCUUUCCCGUGGAGACCAGCGCGGCUCACGUUAAGGAGAAAUAACCCAACGACACUUGUUAAAGACGUCUUUUCACAGGCAUUUUCUUGAGCUCUGCGGUUCAAGUCCACAACCUUCUGUGGAGCCCCCCUACCGAGCACGAGUCACAGAGGCCGCAGGAGAAGCUCAGCUCUGGAAGGUUCCGGAGUGUCAAUUCAACCAAAUGGUACCUGGAGUGAGAGAGAUCUGGACGCCAGUACAUACCUGGGGGAAGCCACGAGGAGGCCGGGGAUGAGAAGACCCGACGUUGCUUACGGGUGCUUUUCGAGACUAAAUUCGCCAAGAAAAUCUUUCAUUCAUCAUGACCAGAGUGAGCAGACCGUUCCACCAAACGGACGCCUCCUUCCAGACGGUCCGGGUCCACAUCGCCGCACAUGUGCUCACCUGUGACACGUUCUGGCUUCUCCGACGGCAGGUGCUCCGACCGCUUCCCACCCCGGCCGGAGAGCCCGAGAGCGUCUGUCCAUCCACCCUGGGGACCAUCACCAGGAUUGCUUCCAGGCCCACUGGCUUUGAUUCUUCUCUUCGGCCUCGGCCAGACCUUUUGGGAAGCCUCGGUUUUAACAGCUUAUGUUAUUCAUCUGUCUUCAGCAAGUUACAUAAAAAGUACUGAAAAGGAAUGAACUUCUGCCUUCCGAAAGAGGAAGAGGCUCCAAGAUUUCCAUUGUGUUGCUCUGAAAAAGGAGGUGACGCCCAGCACACGUCUCCGUCUGCCACAUGCCGAGCAGUGAUAGGUGAUGUUAGCAGGAAGGUCACAUGCAUUCUCCUGGAGACCCGGAUCACCCAAGCAGCAGCAUUUCAUGUAAGCUCAUUUUCCCAGUCUCUAAAUGCUAAAUGGUCAAACACUUCUGUUCUGGGGGGGAAAAAAAUGAUAAGUGAAUGUGGAAGGUGUUUUUUUUGUUUUGUUUUGUUUUUUGUCAUGUCUGCUCGGCAUUAGUCAUCUGUUCUGAUUCACACAGAAACUCUGGGGCAACCGUGGGAUGCACUUAAUAUGCUGGGUGUUGAGUUUAAUCUGACACAUGGAAUUUUUUAAUGGUGCAAUUUU